rnacentral:rRNA from 1 species
GCAAGUCGAACGAGAUGAUUUAAUGCUUGCAUUAAAGAUUCUAGUGGCGAACGGGUGAGUAACACGUAGGAAACUUACCCCAAAGACGAGGAUAACUGUGAGAAAUCGCAGCUAAUACUGGAUAGGUAAUAAAAACGCAUGUUUUUAUUAUUAAAGAGGCUGCUAGCCUUGCUUUGGGAUGGUCCUGCGGUGCAUUAGUUAGUUGGUGGGGUAAUGGCCUACCAAGACGAUGAUGCGUAGCUGGGCUGAGAGGCCUAAC